GGUCAGAUAGCUCAGUUGGUUAUAGCAUCUGGAAUAUAACCAGAAGGCCCUGGGUUCAAUCCCCAGUCUAGUCA
rnacentral:tRNA from 1 species